AAUAUCUGAAUUGUUUACAAAACUAUAUGAUUAAAAAGUCAUGUAAACAUUUUAGAUAUACA
rnacentral:pre_miRNA from 1 species